rnacentral:lncRNA from 1 species
AUCUCAGCUCCUUCAAUAUUUAAGUAUGCAUUUUUUUUUUUCCUUUUUAACAAGUUGCUUUAGGCUUGCUUGCCUACAGAAGCUAGAUAUCUGCUGGAAGGUUAACUUUGGUGUGAUUCUAGCUUCCCACCAGCUCAAGCCCAUCUUCUUUCUAAGCCAACAUUAUUGCCCUGAUUUUUUUUUUUUUGUUUGUAGUACGUAAGAUUUUCAGAAAGAAGAGCAAACAGAUACGUGCAAUCCCCAACCCAAUAAGGUUAGGACUGUGACCUGCUCUUUCCCACCACCAGAGAAGGGACUGUUCCCUUGCAGAGGUCCUUUUCAACAGUUGCUCUGUUUCUGCUCCUCUUUAGUGUUCUGAAUCUGAGACAUAAGAUGGCUGAGUCCAUCUCCAUACGAGCAUAUCCUCUCCUGCUACUCUGUGCGACUCUGUCUGAAUCCGUGACUCAUUUGAGGCCAGAAACUCCACAGCUCUGUUCCAGACCCGCUUCAUUUUUUUCCUGCUCUGAGGAGGGAUGAGGCUGUCCCGAACGUGGAGAAUGCCCACAUAGGGGUAACGCUCCAAGUUCCGUUCCCAUUCCUUAUAGUGGUCCUGGACAACAGCUAUGAUCUUCUUCACCAUAUCGUACAUGGCUUGCUCCUCUUCCUCCAUCUUCCGCCAGCGAUACCGAAGGAAGAUUAGGAUCC